GGAGUUAGCCGGUGCUUCUUCUGUGAGUGAUGUCCUUCCUGCCGGCUAUUAACCCGCAGGCCUUCUUCCUCACUGAAAGUGCUUUACAACCCGAAGGCCUUCUUCACACACGCGGCAUGGCUGGAUCAGGGUUGCCCCCAUUGUCCAAUAUUCCCCACUGCUGCCUCCCGUAGGAGUCUGGGCCGUGUCUCAGUCCCAGUGUGGCUGAUCAUCCUCUCAGACCAGCUACGGAUCGUCGCCUUGGUGAGCCGUUACCUCACCAACCAGCUAAUCCGACAUAGGCUCAUCCGAUAGCGCGAGGCCCGAAGGUCCCCCGCUUUCCCCCGUAGGGCGUAUGCGGUAUUAGCCUGGGUUUCCCCAGGUUAUCCCCCACUACCGGGCAGAUUCCUAUGCAUUACUCACCCGUCCGCCGCUCGCCACCAGGGAGCAAGCUCCCCGUGCUGCCGCUCGACUUGCAUGUGUUAGGCCUGCCGCCAGCGUUCAAUCUGAACCAGGAUCAAACUCUGA
rnacentral:rRNA from 1 species